GCCGGCUUAGCUCAUUUGGUAGAGCAGUUGAUUUGUAAUCAUCAGGUGGCGGGUUCGAGUCCUGCAGCCGGCACCA
rnacentral:tRNA from 1 species